AUGCGACGUAUAAGACUCGAAGCAUAAGAGUAACACUGUGUAAUCGGAUCAAUGUGGCGAAGCUAAUGUUUGCUCCGACAUUUACAAUAUAUUGAAUAUGGAGUUGUUUCAAGCUUUAAGCUUAUUCAAUCGGCAGAAAUACGAGGCGUGCGUUACGAUAUGCACCGAUUUGUUGAGAAAAAAUCCACUGGAUCAGGCUGUGUGGGUCUUGAAAAUGCGUGCCUUAAUAUUGCAAGUCUAAGUAGAUGACAUUGAAGGCGAGGAGGAGGGAAUUGCGGAAACUCUGUUAGACAAUUAUGCGAUAUCAAUGAUGCCACGGCCAGGAACUUCAUUGAAAAAUCCCGGUACCAGUUACACCGGUCAAGGAGUACGACCUAAAUCUCAAUCCGAUAGACCUGUUACCGGGGUAAUGCGACCCGCCACUCAGGCAGCGAUGUCCCAAUCGAUUGAACAAGCAUUGAAAACACCGAGGACAGCAAUGACUGCCAGGCCGAUUACAGCGAGCUCAGGACGUAGUGUUAGAUGGAUAUAUACAAUGCAUUCAUGCAUAUGUAUUAAAUAUUAAGAGAAAAUUGAAUCUUGAAAUUGUGAAUCUUCGUCUUUUAAGACUUGGUACUGCAUCGAUGCUGACGAAGCCGGAUGGGCCCUUUAUCCAGUUAUCGCGCUUGAAUAUAACUAAAUAUGCUAAUUAACAAAGCAUAGCGAAACCGAUUUAAUCAAUGUAAU